rnacentral:lncRNA from 1 species
AGCCAGGGCAUGGUACAGCCCAUGGGAAGGGCAGGCGGGCAGCCAGUGGGCAAGGGAUAGUGGAUUUGGACGAGGGGAGCCAGGCAUGAAAGUCAGGGCAGCCGGAGGGGUUUCCGCUGGGCUGGAGAUCUCCAACUCUGCCAACCCGGACGAGGCAGGUGCCAGACCCAGUUCUUGCUCUCUCUGUGGCUCCAGAGAGGGGGUGGAGCUGUUGGGUCUCUGUGCCAGCCAGAGGCAGAAAUCAAUGCAUCGAGCUGGCCCCUGGGAUCCAGAGAGCCAGGGAGAGGAAGAUUCAAUUCAUCCCCAACCCAGAACCCUGCCUCCGAGUCAGAUCCCUUGGGAGCCACCCACUUCAGUUAGCCAAGCUCAAAAGAGUCCCUCCCACGAAGAGCUGGGGCAGACCCUGCUGGCUCCCUGCAAAGAAGAGCACUCCUCUGCACUAACCCAACUGAGACUGCAACCCAGCUCCCUGCCUCAGUCUCCCGACAGUGGGAGUGAGACACCAGGCCUGCAGCAUGCCUCCUCGGAACUCUGGAAAAGGAAAAAUUACAGUUGGAAAGAAGACAGAAGCUGGUAAAAGAAGCCUUCCAAGGAGGUGAACUCAGAGACCUGAGGCCACUUGGAGAAGGAGAAUUCAAGCCAGGAAACAGCAGGGCAGACAGUACCCAGCCUUGGGCUGGCUGGAGCGCAGAGCUGGAAGGUGGCCAGCUCCGCUCUGGGCAGGGGUCGCCCAUGCAGUGGUACACGGGGCAGGGGGCAUCUGCUCUAUGCCCAGCCCUGCCACCUACCUGGCUCAGCUUGCCCCUGGGGGAGGUGACAGUCACAGUCCCUUCAGAACUUUCCUGCCAGCCCAUCACCCUCCCCACAGCACUCCGGGAACCUUCUCCAACAAAGAAUGUGCAACUGAUACCAGUUAUCCAUGGGCCCCUAUUCGAGAGAUGCCUGAGCUUUUCUCUGAGGAGCUGACCCACCCCAAAUGGGAGUGGGGGAGGGGUGGGAGCCUCAGCCGCCUCUCCUCUCCUCUUCCAGGCCCUUCCUUUGCAGCCGGCUCACCAUGGCGCUCCAGCCACGACGUUGCCAAGUGCGCUCCGUGCCAGGGCUGAGGCCUGGGGUUGGGGGAGGCCAAUGGCUGCCAGUGGUCCUGGAGCCCCUCGCCUAUUCUCCAGAGAGCCUGAAACUUUCCAGGGAGAGGCACGGCUAGCCCUGCUGGGUGGUAAGGAGAUUGGGGGAGGAGGGUUCCGGAUCUGUUCCCCUUGGGGGCCCACAGGCAGCACAAUAGCCCCCGGGGCUGCCGCUCUCUGGCUUAAGUGGUUGCCUGGGCAACAGCUGGGGCCAGUUUCCACCAAUCCAUGGAGGAGGCUGAGUGGGGGAGGGAGGCCAGGCAGGAAGGGGGGUGCCGUCCCCUUGUGCUGGAUCCUAUAUAAGGAAGAGGGAUGUGAGCAGAGUGGUCUGGGCUUCACCGUCCCUCCAGUGGA